rnacentral:tRNA from 1 species
GCCUAGAUAGCUUAGUUGGUAGCGCGUCUGCCUUGUAAGCGCUAGGCCGUGGGUUCGAUUCCCGCCCGAGGCG